rnacentral:rRNA from 1 species
UACGUAGGGGGCAAGCGUUGUCCGGAAUCAUUGGGCGUAAAGAGCGUGUAGGCGGUCCGGUAAGUCGGUUGUGAAAGUCCAGGGCUCAACCCUGGGAUGCCGACCGAUACUGUCGGACUAGAGUUCGGAAGAGGCGAGUGGAAUUCCCGGUGUAGCGGUGAAAUGCGCAGAUAUCGGGAGGAACACCUAUGGCGAAGGCAGCUCGCUGGGACGUUACUGACGCUGAGACGCGAAAGCGUGGGGGAGCAAACAGG